GACGAACGCUGGCGGCGUGCCUAAUACACGCAAGUCGAGCGAAGUUUUUCUGGUGCUUGCACUAGAAAAACUUAGCGGCGAACGGGUGAGUAACACGUAAAGAACCUGCCUCAUAGACUGGGACAACUAUUGGAAACGAUAGCUAAUACCGGAUAACAGCAUUAACUGCAUGGUUGAUGUUUAAAAGUUGGUUUUGCUAACACUAUGAGAUGGCUUUGCGGUGCAUUAGCUAGUUGGUGGGGUAAAGGCCUACCAAGGCGACGAUGCAUAGCCGACCUGAGAGGGUGAUCGGCCACACUGGGACUGAGACACGGCCCAGACUCCUACGGGAGGCAGCAGUAGGGAAUCUUCCGCAUAUUGGGCGAAAUGCCUGACGGAUGCAACGCCGCGUGAUGUGAAG
rnacentral:rRNA from 1 species